rnacentral:rRNA from 1 species
GAUGAACGCUGGCGGCGUGCUUAACCCAUGCAAGUCGAACGGAAAGGCCCAAGCUUGCUUGGGUACUCGAGUGGCGAACGGGUGAGUAACACGUGGGUGAUCUGCCCUGCACUUCGGGAUAAGCCUGGGAAACUGGGUCUAAUACCGGAUAGGACGAUGGUUUGGAUGCCAUUGUGGAUAGCUUUUUCGGUGUGGGAUGAGCUCGCGGCCUAUCAGCUUGUUGGUGGGGUAAUGGCCUACCAAGGCGUCGACGGGUAGCCGGCCUGAGAGGGUGUACGGCCACAUUGGGAAGGAGAUACGGCCCAGACUCCUACGGGAGGCAGCAGUGGGGAAUAUUGCACAAUGGGCGCAAGCCUGAUGCAGCGACGCCGCGUGGGGGAUGACGGCCUUCGGGUUGUAAACUCCUUUCGCUAGGGACGAAGCGUUUUUGUGACGGUACCUGGAGAAGAAGCACCGGCUAACUACGUG